GGUAUCGUGGCGGAAUGGUUACGCAGGAGCCUGCAAAGCUUUUUAUCCCAGUUCGAUUCUGGGCGAUACCUCCA
rnacentral:tRNA from 1 species